UGACCGAGCAACGCCGCGUGAGUGAAGAAGGUUUUCGGAUGCGUAAGCUCUGUUGUAAGAGAAGAACGAGUGUGAGAGUGGAAAGUUCACACUGUGACGGUAUCUUACCAGAAAGGGACGGCUAACUACGUGCCAGCAGCCGCGGUAAUACGUAGGUCCCGAGCGUUAUCCGGAUUUAUUGGGCGUAAAGCGAGCGCAGGCGGUUAGAUAAGUCUGAAGUUAAAGGCUGUGGCUUAACCAUAGUACGCUUUGGAAACUGUUUAACUUGAGUGCAGAAGGGGAGAGUGGAAUUCCAUGUGUAGCAGUGAAAUGCGUAGAUAUAUUGGAAGGAACACCGGUGGGCAAAAGCGGCUCUCUGGUCUGUAACUGACGCUGAGGCUCGAAAGCGUGGGGAGCAAACAGGAUUAGAUACCCUGGUAGUCCACGCCGUAAACGAUGAGUGCUAGGUGUGGUCCUUUCCGGGACUCAGUGCCGCAGCUAACGCAUUAAGCACUCCGCCUGGGGAGUACGACCGCAAGGUUGAAACUCAAAAGAAUUGACGGGGGCCCGCACGAGC
rnacentral:rRNA from 1 species